rnacentral:rRNA from 1 species
AUUGAACGCUGGCGGCAGGCCUAACACAUGCAAGUCGAGCGAGCGGCGGACGGGGGCGUAAUGUCUGGGAAACUGCCUGAUGGAGGGGGAUAACUACUGGAAACGGUAGCUAAUCCCGCAUACCAUCAGAUGUGCCCAGAUGGGAUUGGCUAGUAGGUGGGGUAACGGCUAACCUAGGCGACGAUCCCUAGCUGGUCUGCGAGGAUGACAAGCAACACUGGAACUGAGACACGGUCCAGACUCCUACGGGAGGCAGCAGUGGGGAAUAUUGGACAAUGGGCGCAAGCCUGAUGGAGCCAUGCCGCGUGUGUGAAGAAGGCUUUCGGGUUGUAAAGCACUUUCAGCGGGGAGGCGUUACCCGCAGAAGAAGCACCGGCUAACUACGUGCCAGCCGCCGCGGUAAUAC